CCAGACUCCUACGGGAGGCAGCAGUGGGGGAUAUUGCACAAUGGGGGGAACCCUGAUGCAGCGACGCCGCGUGAGGGAAGAAGGUUUUUGGAUUGUAAACCUCUGUCCUUGGUAAAGAAGCAAGACGGUAGCCAAGGAGGAAGCCACGGCUAACUACGUGCCAGCAGCCGCGGUAAUACGUAGGUGGCAAGCGUUAUCCGGAUUUACUGGGUGUAAAGGGCGUGUGGGCGGGAAAGCAAGUCAGAUGUGAAAACCAUGGGCUCAACCUGUGGCCUGCAUUUGAAACUGUUUUUCUUGAGUACUGGAGAGGCAGACGGAAUUCCUAGUGUAGCGGUGAAAUGCGUAGAUAUUAGGAGGAACACCAGUGGCGAAGGCGGUCUGCUGGACAGCAACUGACGCUGAGGCGCGAAAGCGUGGGGAGCAAACAGGAUUAGAUACCCUCGUAC
rnacentral:rRNA from 1 species